rnacentral:tRNA from 1 species
AUAGUGGUGGUUUAGUGGUAGAAUUCUCACCUUCCAUGUGGGAGACCCAGGUUCGAUUCCUGGCCAAUGCA